rnacentral:rRNA from 1 species
GACGAACGCUGGCGGCGUGCUUAACACAUGCAAGUCGAGCGGUAAGGCCCUUUCGGGGGUACACGAGCGGCGAACGGGUGAGUAACACGUGGGUGACCUGCCCUCAGCUCUGGGAUAAGCCUGGGAAGCCGGGUCUAAUACCGGAUAUGACUCCAUGACGCAUGUUGUGGGGUGGAAAGCCUUGUGCGGCUGAGGAUGGGCCCGCGGCCUAUCAGCUUGUUGGUGGGGUGANGGCCUACCAAGGCGACGACGGGUAGCCGGCCUGAGAGGGCGACCGGCCACACUGGGACUGAGACACGGCCCAGACUCCUACGGGAGGCAGCAGUGGGGAAUCUUGCGCAAUGGGCGAAAGCCUGACGCAGCGACGCCGCGUGAGGGAUGACGGCCUCGGUGU